rnacentral:rRNA from 1 species
UACAGAGGUCUCAAGCGUUGUUCGGAUUCAUUGGGCGUAAAGGGCGCGUAGGCGGGCUGUCAAGUCUGGGGUGAAAUCCCGCGGCUCAACCGCGGAACUGCCUCAGAUACUGACGGUCUCGAGGGGGGUAGGGGCGAGCGGAACUGAUGGUGGAGCGGUGAAAUGCGUUGAUAUCAUCAGGAACUCCGGUGGCGAAGGCGGCUCGCUGGACCUCUUCUGACGCUGAGGCGCGAAAGCUAGGGGAGCAAACGGG